rnacentral:rRNA from 1 species
UACAGAGGGUGCGAGCGUUAAUCGGAAUUACUGGGCGUAAAGCGCGCGUAGGCGGCCAACUAAGUCAGACGUGAAAUCCCUCGGCUUAACCGGGGAACUGCAUCUGAUACUGGAUGGCUUGAGUUCGGGAGAGGGAUGCGGAAUUCCAGGUGUAGCGGUGAAAUGCGUAGAUAUCUGGAGGAACACCGGUGGUGUAGACGGCUUUCUGGACCGUAACUGACGCUGAGACACGAAAGCGUGGGUAGCAAACAGG